GAAGGUUGUGCUGGUUGAGCGGGUUUAACAUUCUGUACAGGUUGUACUGGCGAACUUGGCUGAUAAUACUGCGUUGAUUGAACUGGCUGCAUAGGUGGAGCUGGUACGCCAUUCUGAACGGGCUGCACCGGUGAGCUGGGUUGGUAGUAUUGAGUUGAUUGUACUGGCUGUAUAGGUUGAACCGGUUGAAAAUGUUGGGUAGAUUGCCCUGAUUGAUAGGACUGUACAGGUUGCGACUGCUGAUUGUACUGUCCAGGUUGGGCAGGUUGGUUGUUAUUCUGCCCAGACCUGCUAACUACUCGUGAACCAAUGUUACUAGUAUUAGGCGGAAUAACAGAUAUUCUUUUAGACGAAGGAGUGUAAUGGAUAGUCGACGUCGACCUCAAAGACGCCUGAUUUGACCCCGAGGGAUCAAAAUCUUCAAAGACGUCUUCGUAAACAGAUUCAGAGGAAGACGAUCCUUCCUUGUUCUCAUAAAUAAUGACGUGUUUUUUGCUAACUGGGGGAACUUGAGAUGAAGGACUAUUUUGUCUGUAGCUAGAUGUAUAAGCAGGUGACAUUUUUCUGCUUGGUUUUUUGAGUACCGACUUUUGAGUGGUAUUAUUUCUAACAGUAGAAGAACGUUGAACAUUGUUAUACGAUUCUUCAGCAACUGGAGAUGUGGGAAGGCUAACGGAAGGACUAUAUUCUUCGAUUGGGGGAGGGAUUGCAGUAGGAUAAUAAGGAGUAUUAUAAUUAGCAGG